UGGAUCCGCGCCUGAGCGAAGCACAAUGGACUGGUGCCUGUACAUGUAAUGUAUUUCAUGCAAAUGAACGGUAGAAUGAGAAGCUCACGAUGAUAUGGUAGACAAGGACCUUGCUGUCCAAAGCUUGGAGGCCAGAUGACAGUGUCUGAACCGGCUUGUCAGAAUUGCGUACAAGGAUGCCAUUGGACUUUGCUGUACUUGGAGCUGAAGGGGAGCAGUCACCAAAAGGAGCGUGCAACUCGAAAACAAUGUGGAUACCUCUACCGAGUUCAUCUCAAAUAACAUGGCUCUUCAAGAAUCAAGGUGUGAUAUUGGAUGUACAUGUAGAGGGGUUUGUGACCCUCCUGACUGUGGACUACUUGCAAUACACAUAAACUCAAUCAAUGGAUUGUAGAGGAGUAAUGGUGGGUCCGGUGAGCUCAACUUUGGAGGUUACUUUCGCAAAAUUAAUAAAGUUCCUUUUAAUUUGGGUGUAUAUGGUUCCAGGGAUUAAUUUGACGCAAUGCCUUGUAGUGACACGCCCAUUUAAGGGACAACACGUCUCAGAAAGUAUAAAAUGGGAAGCAGUUUCUGAAGUGGCGCGAGCUUUUAUUUUUCGGGUGACUUCCUCAUUUUGUUUCAUACUCCAUUUCCUUUGCGGCCAUGAAGUGCUAAAGUUUUAGCGGAGUUUGGGGCAUCCAGCCCAUAGAUAUGACUUUUCGUGAUUAUAUGUAAUAAAUUGUAAUAAAGUUACUAUCCACUUCAACACUUGACUCUUGUCGAGAAUUUUA
rnacentral:lncRNA from 1 species